rnacentral:tRNA from 1 species
GGCUGCCCUGGUCGAACAGGCCGUUGUUCAGCGUCUUGACGGGGCGCUCCAGCAUGCGGUUGGAGACGGCGGCAGCGGCC